GACGAACGCUGGCGGCGUGCUUAACACAUGCAAGUCGAACGGAAAGGCCCCUUUUGGGGUACUCGAGUGGCGAACGGGUGAGUAACACGUGAGUAACCUGCCCUUGACUUCGGGAUAACUUCAGGAAACUGGGGCUAAUACCGGAUAGGAAUCCUUGCUGCAUGGUGGGGGUUGGAAAGCUUCGGCGGUUUUGGAUGGACUCGCGGCUUAUCAGCUUGUUGGUGGGGUAGUGGCUUACCAAGGCUUUGACGGGUAGCCGGCCUGAGAGGGCGACCGGCCACAUUGGGACUGAGAUACGGCCCAGACUCCUACGGGAGGCAGCAGUGGGGAAUAUUGCACAAUGGGCGGAAGCCUGAUGCAGCAACGCCGCGUGCGGGAUGACGGCCUUCGGGUUGUAAACCGCUUUCAGCAGGGGCGAAGCUUGUGGUGACGGAACCUGCAGAAGAAGCACCGGUUAACUACGU
rnacentral:rRNA from 1 species